UCUCCUCUCUAAACUUGAUCAUCAAGAAAGCUAACCUUGUUCUCUCUUAUUUUUGUUUUCUUAUUCAUCAAGAAACCCUUUUUCUUUUUAUUCAACUGCUGUGUGCGUGAUGAAUCCCCCCACCUCGUCCAUCGCUCCCGGAUCGCUGCGAUCUCUUCUCGUCGGUCGAAAAUUUUCGCUUUGUUCUCGUGCCUUCGCUCCAGCAGGCGAAGAUUAGGAGGAUCGAAAUGGGGCUAAUUAGGAGCAGUUUCUCAUUUUUACUGGGUCUUGGUUGUGGUGUUUAUAUUACCCAGAACUAUGAGGUCCCCAACAUGAAGCAGCUUGCAAGUGGCUGUCAAGGGCGAAGGACAUGGAGGAAAUAUACAGAAAACCCAACAAAAAUGAUGACUGAAAGCAUCUUACGAACAGUUAGGAACCAACAAUAAGGUAACCUUUUCGUCUGACUACUUGGAUAAAAAAUAUAAGAGAGUAAAAGAAAAACAAUUAAAAGAUAUUCAUAAAUAAUGAAAUCUUAUAAUUUUGCAUAAUUGUAACCUUUCUUACGUCGAUCCAAGUAAUGAGACCAAAAAUUUAAAUCUUAUAGUGUGAUUCUAGAGGUGGCUUUUGUUGUGCUUCAUUGUUUGUAAUGUAGGUAAGUAGCCAUUGGUGUUGCAUGUCGAUCGACCUGUUAAAUGAUCGCGUUUUGUGUGGUUCUCUUGCCUUCCAUUGCAUCUGGCAAAUUAUUUCCUUGAGUUGUAAAAUUGUACUGCCAUAGACAUUUCUGAUUUGCAUCUGCCUGUGGUUCGAGUAACACAACAUGCCUCCUUUUAUCCGGCUAAAAAGCCGGAUGAGCAAUGGUUGGCGAGGAAUACAAUAUUUGUGAAAUUUGAGUUAUCUCUAUUAAUAUUUUUUAAAUAUUUAA